rnacentral:sRNA from 1 species
UUCUAGCCCAGAUGGAAACAACAUCCUUUUGUGCGGCCCCGAAACUUCGGGAGCCACAAAAGAUAUAGCAGAUCCCGAAACUUC